CGCCAGUGGCAUAGCUGAGUAGCUACGUAUGGACGGGAUAAGCGCUGAAGGCAUCUAAGCGCGAAGCCCCCCUUAAGAUAAGAUUUCCCAUGACGCAAGUCAGUAAGACCCCAGAAAGACGAUCUGGUUGAUAGGUCGGAGGUGUAAGGGCAGUAAUGUCUUUAGCUGACCGAUACUAAUAGGUCGAGGACUUGACCA
rnacentral:rRNA from 1 species